AUCUUUCGUUGUACUUCUAAAUUGCUAUAAUGAUGUUUAUGAGGUUGUGUUUUCAAAAUACGUUUGGCUGCUUUAAUUAGAGUUAUGAUGCACAUUUUGAUAGUUAAACUACCCGUCUUUUCUCGGAACUUCAGUUUGCUCUGGAGGAGUUAAAUUCGAAUGGAAAGCAGCCGCGACAGCAUGAAGUUAACAUACCUUCUAGAAGAUGCAAAUAAACUGAAGCAAUUGAAAGCUUCAUUCAUUGGAAUUGAUCCUACCUGAGGAUAUCGGGAUGAAAGUCCAAAGGUCAAUUCUUAUCAGCGUUCGUAAGCAGUUGUUAAAGCAAUUCAACAAAGCACCGAUGAACAUCCAGUGAGCUUUCAAAUGGCCAUUAUCGAGAAUGCAUCGCUUCAGUCAGAGGAUGCAAGAGAAAUUCCAUUCAUGAAAACUUGGAAUCAAGAUUGCCAGUCCGUUCCUGCAAAUCUGCAGAGGCAUAUUUUAUUAUCCAGCUGUGCCGAGGAUCCGUCAAGUGAAUGCUACUGUUCCACAUACUUGGACGAUAAUGUGCAAGUCUUUGCAGUGCCUUGCUUAUUUCAAGUAUGAUUAGAUUAUUAUUGGAAAUCAACAUGACUUUGUGCCUUAACUCUUGCGCUGGAUUGACUAGCUAAGCAAUUCUGAAUUAAAAGAAUGCUACAUGAUGUACACUACUUGAUUUUUAGUGUCCGGAAUUCGCAAAAAACGAUAACAAUGUUAAAACUUAAGUAUUUUAGUACAACUUAAAAUUUUUAAUUUCUUGAUAAUAUA